AUGGUUGAUUAGACAAAAUACCUCACGGCUAUUUAUUGGACACUGUGAUUUCUUUUGUUCUAAUUUGUGAACACUUUUAUCAAGAGGGAAUUCAUUUCGAAUUACUAGUUUCACUGAACUGGCUGUUCACUUAGGUUAAAUAUCACAUUGGUUGGAAAGUCUCUUGCAAAAGACCCCUGGAUGAGCCCAGAUGAAAGUUCAGUCCUACACCUGGAGGAAGAUGGUUUCAUUUCAGUUGCCAGAUAAUGAUGAUAUUCCAGCACCAGGUA